CUUAAAGUCCCAUCAGUAUCAAGUCUAUGAAGUACCUACACUACAGUUUUACCCCUCAGCAAUCAACGGGGUAUUGUGAAAACACAGAAGGUUAACUUUCUGUGAGGGAAACGGUGCAGGUAGUACCCUUCGCGAAUAGAAACCUUUUACAUGCUUCAGUUACACUGGUACCUGGAGUACCUUAAUCCUUGGCCUUAACUCCAGUCCAAAGUGAUAAGAGCACCGAUUUUUUAAAAUCCAGGGCAAAGUAGUAGGUAAGUAGACGUGUAGUAAGUGAAGAAGUUAGACAACGGCAGAACUUUAUAACGCAAACAAUUUUGUAACAUGAUAAAAGCUGGAUACGAUUUUGUAAAACUUGUUAUUGACCACGGACCGGACUUCAGGUGUGAGGUUAGUAAACGCCCGAUCUGGACCGGAGGUGAGGUUC